GAUGAAGAACGUAGCGAAGUGCGAUAAGUAGUGUGAAUUGCAGAAUUCCGUGAAUCAUCGAAUCUUUGAACGCACAUUGCGCCUUCUGGUAUUCCGGAAGGCAUGCCUGUUCGAGAGUCAUUAACAACCGUUUCGAUCCCUUUCUUUCAGAAAUUACAAAGAGGAAAAGGGUUUGGUUAUGGUGGAGGAGGGAAAGGGAGCGUUUAGCCUGUAAAAAAAGAGGCUGUGUUCCGCCUCCCCCCCAAAAUUGUACAGGCGGUCGUGUGCGCCCACGCAUCGAGGUGUUGUAAAAGCUGCCACGGCACUUUUCACCUGUGCAGUGCGAGAUUGGCCAGCCGGUUUAAAAACCCCUCCAAACAAUCAAAGGUUGACCUCGGAUCAGGUAGGGAUACCCGCUGAACUUAAGCAUAUCAAUAAGCGGAGGA
rnacentral:misc_RNA from 1 species